CCCAUUCUCAUCUUUUUCAAUCACACAAUUGUCCCAUUCUCACCUUUUUCUCUCCGUCUCAAACUCCAAACCCCUUCGACCUCUCCUUCCAUAUUAAACAGAUCAGAUCCUUCUUAAGACGGCGAUUCUGUCUAUGAAUGUAACCCUUUUAUCGAGUUCAGUCCAGAUUAAGCACAAAAACCGCAAGAGUUGUAUAUAAGAAACUGAGUAUGGAUUUGUGCCCAAUAUUUGUAUAAUUGUUUCAUUCAUUCACGAAAAUUUACCAAUUAAGCCUCCUAGCUUUAUCUGUUUUUAUCUGAUCUGUACAUGAUUUACCUAAUUUUCUUUGUUAUGCUUGCAAAACUCUUGAACCUUCCCAUUUUGCCUGAUUCUAAUCGUUUACAUGUAUUUGGAACAAUAAUUUUGAUAAACAAUGAAGAAAAUGCUUCGAGCCGAUUUGGGAUCCGCUUACAUACUUUCAAGAGACACCGGAGCCUGUUUUAUUUCCAUCAUACAGGAUCAGCUGCCUUACCUGUGAGGUGCGGCUGCUAGGGUUGGUCCUGAAGAGAUUCACAGGCAAUGUGCUCAGAUUCUGCGGAUAUGGAUGAAGGAGAAGAUUAUACACAAAUCCUAUCUUCAGCCCAUGUUGAUGAUAUUGAUCUUCUCAUUAAAUAUCCACCUCUAGAUGACAGAGCUCUAAAUUCUCAAGCAAGAGAGAUUGAUGGCAUGCCAAAUGAAGAAAAUGAUGUGCUUGUAGAAAGGUCUGUGCAGGGUGGAGUCUACUUAUCCUGGAGGACAAGGGUUCCACAUAUUCACCAGCAGCACCUUAUCGUGGUGUUGCAGUCUGGAAACACUGUAACUGAAGAACUAGAAGACUCUGAGGCUAAUAUUGAC